CCCCCGACAUUCUCAGGGUGGUCGGCGAGAAGGCCUUACAUUUAUUUAAACUGUUCUGUUUCUUCAUAUCAUGAUCUGAUCCCCAUGCUCACUAAAUCCCAUAUGCAUGGGGUAUUGGGAUAACGAUACAAAAGGUUUGCUAGGGCAGAUCCUCUCUCACUCAGACUCAGCCCCCCCUAACCAAAAUCCCAGCCCCUCCCGAACCGAAAUCCUGGCUACAGGCCUGGACAGGACCAUGUGAAAUCUAGGGGACGCCGGCAAGCCGUUGGCUCCUGCAACUCCUGCGCCCCCUCCCUUUCAGGGCUUUGGGGGCUGGCUGCCCUCUCUUCCCGCCGGCAGGGGGCGCCGUCCUCGCACGGGAAGCUUAGCCCAGGAGCCGCUCUUGGCCAAAAGGCGGAAACGGAUGAAGCUGCGGCCAAUGGGAUCUUUCCCCCCGCCGCUUCCGCCUUUCCCAGCCUGGUUUUCAGAACCGGAGCCAGAGUUGGGCUUAACCCCUCCCCGCCCGGACUGAACGGCGACGCCAUGACACUCAGGGACAGCGCCACCCACAACUCGUUUCAUUUGCAUUCAUUUGUUAUGCAAAUGAAACGGAAGCCAAGAUGGAAGGAUUUUUUAAAGGCCUGUUGCGCAUUCUGAAACUGGGUUAACAUGACGGUGUAGAUCCAGCCUCAGAGUUGCUGAGGGAUCACUGGGGAAGGUGGCCUGGUUCCAGCCCUGGCAGUUUUAUUCAGACAUUUUGUUGGGAAUGGCCAUUAAUACUACGCCCCACCUACAAAUCCAUGGAUUCAACCAACGAGGACUGAAAAACACUCAAGGAACUACCAAACGCAGCAUUGCCCAAUAAUAUCAACAGGAAAAACUCAGCCGCUAUCAGGACCUCAAGAUUGAACUUCAAAGACUCUGGCAGAAACCAGUGCAGGUGGUCCCGGUGGUGAUCGCCACACUGGGUGCCGUGCCAAAAGAUCUCAGCCGGCAUUUGGAAACAAUAGACAUUGACAAAAUUACUAUCUGCCAACUGCAAAAGGCCACCCUGCUGGGAUCUGCACGCAUAAUCCGAAAAUACAUCACAUAGUCUUAGACACUUGGGAAGUGUUCGACUUGUGAUAUGAAAUCCAGCAUAUCUAUCUUGUUUGCUGUGUCAUAAUAAAAUAAUAAUAAUUAUUA